GCCGAGCCCCAGCAAGUGAGGUAUCCAGCUCAAAUGGCCCAGCAACAACCCAACCCCAUUCCUCAGCAAUUUUGGCAUGUAGCCCAAAUUUCCCAGCAGCAACUGGCCCCAAAUUCUCAGCAGAAGCACUACGAAAGCACUGAAGAUGGUGCCUCUGGUAGUUCUCAGGCCAGCAUUGUUGAACAGUCGGGUGUCAUCCCAAUCUCUUCCUACAGUUUCAAAUCGCACUACAAGAAUGGCAGAACUGAGUCUCCCAAAUCAGCUACACUCCUAGGGAGGCAAUGCCUGUUGACAGUGGAAAUGCUCCCAAGGACGGUAAUGUUAGCAUUGGUGCACCAAGCAUAUAUCCAACACGAGUGAAGGAUUCUGCAAGGGAAAUAUAAUGGAUUCAUCCUCUAGAAGCUCUAAUGACCAGGAAGUUGCUGGUGUUCUUGCUACUCUAGUGUGAUGGAAUCAAUAAACAAUUUGACUUUAAAAAA